AGAUGUGAGAUUUCUGAUUUGAACAACUGCGACGCUGCGACAUUUGAAUUUCUCCAAAGGCGAAACGAUUAUAUCAAAAGAAGAAAUGUUCUUUCCAUCAGACUAUUUUGAGAUAAUCGUAUGGAUCAACAUCCAUCUCUGCUUUCCUCUCACCUUUCUGGUAAUUCCUCUGUGUUUUAUGGUCCGACUGGAUCACAUUCCUGUCUCCUACUACAUAAACCUCCUCAUAUCCAAUUUGAUCCUGAUCAUCACUCUGAUCUCUGAUAGUGCAUUUAGUCUUUCUAAAUACGGUUAUAAGACCUUCGUACAUCACUGGCCACCCUACUUGUGCUUUGGGGCGGCCAGCGCUUGCUUCAAGAUGAUUUUUGCAGUAGAAAGGUUUCUUUUCCUCUACAGGCCACAGUUUCACUUCAUAAGAAAGACAAAAGGCUUUAUAACAUUCUGUGUUUUGGCCUGGAUUAUUUGUAUUGUUCUUUUUGCUAUUUUAAUCUCUUCCCUCUAUUAUACAGGAAUAAUAUCUGUUGUCUUCACUGCCAGCAUGUUCAUCAUCUGUCUAGCUUUAACUCUCAAAUCUCUCUUUGUCGCCACCUCAGAAUCGGCUGAAGAAAAGUACAGAGUUGUUGGAGCAUUAGUUCUGUUGCUGGUUAAUUACAUUUUUUUAAUUCUCCCCAUGAUUAAUUUUUCAAUCAUUCCAGAUUUUUAUGAUUUGAACAUGAAUCUAUUUUUUACCUUGAGUCUGCACUGCCCUGUAAUAGAUUUUCUCUUGUUGGGUUUUAUGUCCAAAGGGCCUUUUAUCAGGCUGCUGAUGCGUCUCUGCUGCUGCAGGAAGAGGAAUCCUGCAGAGAACGACAGCAGCAGAUCAGCUGUUGGAUUAUAGUACAGAUUAUGGGCUCAGAGACAGAGACUAAGGACAGAGGAAGGGUAUGAAAAUAACAAAAUACAUACAUUUAGUAGAAAUAUAUGAUGAUAAACAUACUGAAACACCAAAGAUACCAUAGCUUGCAGAUGUUAGUAGAUUCUGUAAUUGGGUUCAUAAAGAAGCUGACAGUCACAAGAAUCACAAAAGACCAAAAAUCUAAUUCCAGUUGCUAUGAAAUAUGAUUAAAUAAACUGAUCCCCCCAAAAACCGCCUUCAGUCUGAGAAUGUUUAUUUCAUGAGAAAAAGAGUCCCACUUUAAAAUAUAACAGUUUUUAAUGAACAUAACUUGGGCCACAAUUACUGAUACCCUCAGACAUUUAUAUAACUGGAAUGAUUUUUUUCUAAUGUAAACUUUAGAAGAAGGUUUUAGUCAAAAAUGAUUUUCUUCUUCCUGGGGGAACAUAAGUUAUCCAUCAAACACAAGAGGAAGAGAAAAAUAUCUCCAAAGCUCCCAGGUGGUGAACUAAACUGAUUGGAUCAGUCAGAGAUGAAUUGAUCAGGGAUCCUUCAGCCUCAGCAGCUCAAAGGUUAAAUCCUGUUCAGGUGUUUUUGUUGUUUUGCUCAGAAGGAGAAUCCAGACGUUAGAAAUAAAAGGAUGUUUGGGAAAUUCAGGAGAAUUUAGAUUUGAUAGAAAGAAAUCAAUUUUAUAUGAGUUAUAAUAGGUUUUGUAGUUUAAUUGUUCUGUUUUUAGUUGAUAUUAACUGUUUUCACUGUAUUUGUUUUUACUUCAGUGUAACUUUGUAAAAUAUGCUGUUUAACAUGGAUGCUAUAUUCUUCAGAAUUUGUCUGUUUGGUCUAUUUAAAUUUUGAUUUUAUUUUUCCUUCCAUUUUUUGUGAUAUUUGUUUGAUGUUUACAACUUUAUAAACAUACUCAUGUGAUGAAAUAGUCUGUAUGAAGAAAGACCAAAUUAAAUUAAUCUGAACUCAAAUAAAUGACAAUUUUUCUUUUCUAGUGGAGCAUUGCAAAUAAAAGGUAAACUAUAAUUAUCCAAGGUUAAAUAUGAGUUACUGUCCAUGUGGUUCAAAUUAUUGCAAAAAAUUUGUGACUUUAUGUGAUACUGUUGUUUAUUGUUUUCUUUCAGGCUUG